UACGUAGGUGGCGAGCGUUGCCCGGAAUUACUGGGUGUAAAGCGCGCGUAGGCGGUAGGCCAAGUCUGCUGUGAAAUCGCCCGGCUCAACUGGGCGCGGUCGGUGGAAACUGGUCAACUGGAGGACGGUAGAGGCGAGUGGAAUUCCCGGUGUAGUGGUGAAAUGCGUAGAGAUCGGGAGGAACACCCGUGGCGAAGGCGGCCGCCUGGGCCGACCCUGACGCUGAGGCGCGAAGGCGUGGGGAGCGAACGGG
rnacentral:rRNA from 1 species